AGCAGCCGCGGUAAUUCCAGCUCCAAUAGCGUAUAUUAAAGUUGCUGCAGUUUAAAAGCCGUAGUUUGAAAUUUUCGGGACAUCAUGUCGGUCGUGCCUCGGUACGUACUGGCAUUGUUGGUUUUCUCAUCUGCAUCGAUUCGACAUUAUUGUAUUUGUGUAGUGAAAGCAGCUGUCCUUAAGAAAAUUAGAGUGUUUUAAAGCAGGCUCACG
rnacentral:rRNA from 1 species